UUCGCAAUGCCCGAAAGGGUGACGAAGCGACGCCGCGUGGGUGAGGAAGGCCUUCGGGUUGUAAAGCCCCGUCAGGAGUUAAGAAAUGUAAGUGCGCUAAUAUCGCAUUUACUUGACGAAGGCUCCAAAGGAAGCCGCGGCUAACUCUGUGCCAGCAGCCGCGGUAAUACAGAGGUGGCAAGCGUUGUUCGGAAUUAUUGGGCGUAAAGAGCACGUAGGUGGGUUUGUAAGUCAGAUGUGAAAGCCUUCUGUUCAACGGAAGAAUUGCAUCUGAAACUGCAAAUCUUGAGUAUAGGAGGGGAGAAUGGAACUUCUGGUGGAGCGGUGAAAUGCGUAGAUAUCAGAAGGAACGCCGGCGGCGAAAGCGAUUCUCUGGUCUAUUACUGACACUCAGUGUGCGAAAGCUAGGGGAGCAAACGGGAUUAGAUACCCCGGUAGUCCUAGCUGUAAACGAUGGGCACUAAGUAGAGGGGUUUU
rnacentral:rRNA from 1 species